rnacentral:lncRNA from 1 species
GCUUUGCAAAGCUUUGGCUGGUGCUCCCGCUCUGAGCUCUGCUUCCCAGCACCCUUAGCAAUCUGGAGGGGCCAGUGUCCUUUGAGGGAGAAAAUGUGCUUCACCUGCGAUUGCAACAUCCAGUGUGUUCGUAGGUGCAAAGCCAUAGGUCCUAAAGGAGGAUUGAGUCAAGAAAAUGCCCCAAAUUCCUUAAGAACAUUACCCAAGGUGAACCCGAGUUAAAAGAAAGCGAAGCGUUGCCUUGAGAGGAGGAGGCGGUUGACAGGACAGCUAAUUUAUUGGAACACAUGACAUUGCAGUCGGAUGGAGUCUCAGUGGCGAGGAACGUUCAGCCCCAAAAGUGGAGGUGGCCCAUACUUAGCCAAAUUAGUGAUGCUGCACCAAAGUAUUUGCUCCAAUUGCAGAGAGAAACUGUAUAAAAGGGCUCAGUGCGUAGGGCUUUUCCACCAGUGCUUUUGAAGAUCUCCUCUCUUCAACUGCUCAGCUUCUUCAGCUUUUGGUAAGUUCCUUUUAAGUAAACCGAUUUGUGACGUGGGUGGCGCUGUGGUCUAAACCACAGAGCCUAGGGCUUGCCGAUCGGAAGGUCGGUGGUUCGAAUCCCCGCGACGGGGUGAGCUCCCGUUGCUUGGUCCCUGCUCCUGCCAACCUAGCAGUUCGAAAGCACGUCAAAGUGCAAGUAGAUAAAUAGGUACCACUCUGGCGGGAAGGUAAAUGGUGUUUCCGUGCGCUACUCUGGUUCGCCAGAAGUGGCUUAGUCAUGCUGGCCACAUGACCCGGAAAAACUGUCUGCGGACAAACACCGGCUUCCUCAGCCAGUAAAGUGAGAUGAGCUCCACAACUCCAGAGUCGUCCUUGACUGGCCUUAACAGUCAGGGGUCCCUUUACCUUUAAAUUGAUUCAUAGACCAGGGAAGGUAGGAAGUGAAUGACUAUGGACGGUCCUUUUUUCCUGGGGGGAAGCAGGGGGACGCAUACCCCUAAACAUUUUGUGAAUCUAAAGGGAGAAGAAAUUUUUAGUUUCUUCUCUAGCGCGGUGAAUCGUCAGUUCCGGUGCCGCCUCUGAUGGCGGCCUCAUUUCCUGUCACGGUGUUUCCUGAGUCUCAGACGGAAUGAGAGUACCCUAAAUAUUUACAAAGAUAAAAGCACAGACCAUGGGGCAGCUAUUUAUUGGGGGCUUUUCUUUUCAACAUGCCUUCCUACUUAGUUCCACAUAAAAAUCAGAUUUGGGAAGAGACCCUGAAAGGUUUACAUGUAAUUCCCUGUGCCGCUGGCAGUGUUUUGGGCUCAGACAGAAAUUUCACAUCUAAGAGGGCUUUUGAAAAGUGGAGCUGGCACUUUGGGGAAUGGAGUCUGAUGAGAGUGAAGAAUGAGGAUCUCUUCCUCCUAAGAGAUCAGAGCAGAUAAGGGGAAGAUUCCCUGUCCUGGAUCUGCUAGGAUUCUGUGUGCAAGAGCAGGUGUAUGGCAUGAGAGCAUCCCUGGAUCCACUUUUCCAGCCUUGCCCUUUUUGGGGUGAGGCAGGUCUGGCAGAGAGAGAUGCUCACCUCAAACUCUGGGAAGGGAAUCCCAUUCCUGGCUGAGCCCCGUGCCCUUGAGGUGUUGCCAAACUAAAACUCCCGUCUCCCCUGGCAUUUGGCCAUGCUGGCUGCCGGGAUUCUGGGAGUUGUAGUUCCAUAGGUUACGGAAGUCCGAUGCUUCCCCUCCCUGCUGUUGGGUCAAGGCUCUUCUUGAUGGUCUAAAGGAAGAGGAAGCUUCUUGCAAGCCCAGCCUGAGAAGAACGCUGGAUUUCAGCACAGACUGGGAGAGAAGGAGAACAGGAACAGAGAGCUGGCCUCAGGGUUUUUUAUAGCAAUAAUAAUAAUAAUAAUAAUAAUAAUAAUAAUACUUUUAAGUUACUACCUGUCCUUGCUUAAAAUAAUGCCCAACGGUCAAAUACUUUUUCAUCUGUUUGGCAAUCUGAAGGCUAAUGACUAAUUUCCCUCUGUUUCCACAUAUUUGUGAACAUGUGUCUUGAAAAUGAUUUAUUUCAGAUUCCCCAACAUUCCUCCAAGAUGUCCAGUGCCAACGUUGGAGCAAGUCUUAUGAUUCCCAUGCCACGACCCAUGAUACUACGCCCUGGUUCGACAACUCCAUUUUUUACAGGUUUUCGGGCCCAGUUCUACUUCCCAAUGUAAGAGGCUUUCGACAGUGGACCAAACGCCCUCAGAAGUUUGUGGACUCUGCUUCAUUGGAGAUUUUUAAGCAGAGGCUGGAUGUCUUUUCCUGGGGUUGGACUGGAAUUACCUUUGGGUAAUUCCAACUCUACAAUUCUAUGGUUCUACAAUUCUACGAUUCUGCACCACAACGAAUUUGAAAUGUGUUUCUUAGGAGAAAGUGUGUAUAAAAAUGAGUAUAUCUGAAAACAGCAUACAAGAACCACGCAAGAUUUUAGCUAAGGUUUCUGUUAUGUAAUCAAGCCAUCAAUUCUAGCACAUGGGGGCCACCUUAUCUAAAUUAUAUAAUUCGGUAUUCGAACUAUUGG